CCUACGGGGGGCUGCAGUGGGGAAUAUUGCACAAUGGGCGCAAGCCUGAUGCAGCCAUGCCGCGUGUGUGAAGAAGGCCUUCGGGUUGUAAAGCACUUUCAGCGGGGAGGAAGGCGUUAAGGUUAAUAACCUUGUCGAUUGACGUUACCCGCAGAAGAAGCACCGGCCAACUCCGUGCCAGCAGCCGCGGUAAUACGGAGGGUGCAAGCGUUAAUCGGAAUUACUGGGCGUAAAGCGCACGCAGGCGGUCUGUCAAGUCGGAUGUGAAAUCCCCGGGCUCAACCUGGGAACUGCAUUCGAAACUGGCAGGCUAGAGUCUUGUAGAGGGGGGUAGAAUUCCAGGUGUAGCGGUGAGAUGCGUAGAGAUCUGGAGGAAUACCGGUGGCGAAGGCGGCCCCCUGGACAAAGACUGACGCUCAGGUGCGAAAGCGUGGGGAGCAAACAGGAUUAGAUACCCUUGUAGUC
rnacentral:rRNA from 1 species